UGCCAAUGAUGGAUUUUACUAAUGCACGUAUUAUCAGAUUACAUAUGAUGAUAUAUGUAAUUGUCACUACCUCUGAGGCA